ensembl:lincRNA
UACGUAAAACCAUCCUCGUGAAACAAGACACUUCUCCUUCCCCUUCCUUUUUAGCCAAUCAUACCUAGGUAGGUGGCCUCCUCUCCCUUCCCAGACAUUAUACAGAUGUGUGCAAGAGAACCCGUCACAUACGUAUCUGGAGGCAAACUCAGUAAUGUUUGGUUAGUGUUUACAGCUGCCCUCCAACUUUGCAGUCUCCCCCAUUGACCCACGCAAUGGUAGGAUCUGGAAAGAUUUGUAUGUAUGACUUCACAAAUGUUUCCAUUUUUGUUUACUUUAUAAAAGGGCAUUUAGAAGAAAGAGAAUUAACAAUACAUUUUAAAAUACUAAAAUAUCCACAAGGCCAAAUAUGCUCAGACAGUGGACUAGAACUAUAAAAGCCUCCUUCAGCCAAAUGAUGUUGAGUAUUAUAUUACACAGAUGUGAGAAUGUGUGUAACCUGUUAUCUGAAGGGUGAUGGAAGGCAAAAGUGCUGUGAAAAUAGGAACAAAGCAACAGCUGUCAGGCAGAAUGCUACUUUGGUGGAUGCUGUAUAUGUUUCUAGUAGUAACGCAGGUACCAUGCAGUGUCUCACAAAGUGGACAAGGUGAUGGAGAAGAUGGUUCAAGUGAUCCCUUCAUCACUCUGAAUAGCAGUCUCACUGAAGAGAUGGUAAACGACCAACGGAGGGCUCUGGAGUACAAACCAGAUCCAGACGGCUGCUCUAUCAACUUCAAAACGGCCCACAGAGGCCCCUGUGGAGCCUCGGGGCAACAGGUCAGGGACUGGGAGGAUGAACUUACCUACCUGAAGGAGAUUCUCCAUGGCAACCAAGCCAUUGUAGACAGCCUUACCCAGACCAUUAGCUCAGAGAUUGGGGAGCUGAAGUACCAGGAGGUCAUCGAAGAAAGCAUCAUUAGUAUUAAGGAAGAUAACCUGAACUGUGACAAGGUUGUGAAGAAAGUCCUGUUAGAGUUGGAAACACAGUUGGAAGGAGACGAGGCAAGAUCGUUGGAAGGGGUUCAGAAAGUUAAAGAGGAUUACCUGAUCAUUGAAGAAAUGCUACAUGCAGCAGAAACAACUGCCAAGAAGUUGGAGAGUACAAUUCAACCUCUGUAUUCUUCCCUGACAAAGCAAUCUUUAAAGGGUCUCUCUGGCCGCAAUUAACACUUCUUAAUUUUAUACAGUAUACUGUAUGUCCCAGACCAAACAAAUAAUUCUGUAGAAUCCAAGUUUGUUCUUUAUCAACCAGAUAACAUUUUACAAUUCCAAACUGUUGAUCAAAACAAAUUAAAUGCAAUUUUGAUGGAGUGCCUGGUUUUAGGUAAAGUUUUUUGCAUGCAUUUAAAUGGACUGUAGCUCCAUAAAUUCCGAAACAUGCGUCCUUUUCCUAAAUAAAUAGAGCCUAUAAAAUGUGUUUGUUUUUUCCAUAUCAAAUUCAUAAAGCACACUUUAACUUAAUUUAAUGGUGGAGCAGUGGUUGGACUUGCUGUCUUGGAGAGCUGUGACUUGGGUUCAAUUCUGGAACUGGGGUGCUUUCUGUGUGGUUUCCCUGGUUACUCCGGCUUCCUCCCACAGUCCAAAGACCUACUGGUAGGUCUUCAAUUGGCUUCUGGGAAAAUUGGCCCUGGUGUGAGUUUAUGGACAGGCAUGUCAUCCAGGGUAUAUCGUGCUUUGUGCCUGUUGCUUGCUGAGAUAUGCUCCAGCUCCCCCGCCAUCCUGUACUGAACAAAACCGUUAGAAAAUGGAUGGAUGAAUGUACUGUAUCUUGUCUUUUCAAGAACAACAGCUCCUCCC